GGAUUAGAUAGUUGGUGGGGUAAUGGCCUACCAAGUCUACGAUCCAUAGCUGGUUUGAGAGGAUGAUCAGCCACACUGGGACUGAGACACGGCCCAGACUCCUACGGGAGGCAGCAGUGGGGAAUCUUAGACAAUGGGGGCAACCCUGAUCUAGCCAUGCCGCGUGAUCGAUGAAGGCCUUAGGGUUGUAAAGAUCUUUCAGUUGGGAAGAUAAUGACGGUACCAACAGAAGAAGCCCCGGCUAACUCCGUGCCAGCAGCCGCGGUAAUACGGAGGGGGCUAGCGUUAUUCGGAAUUACUGGGCGUAAAGCGCACGUAGGCGGACUGGAAAGUUAGAGGUGAAAUCCCAGGGCUCAACCUUGGAACUGCC
rnacentral:rRNA from 1 species